rnacentral:rRNA from 1 species
CCGGUUGUGGCGCCAGCCGCAGCGCCGGGUAGCUAUGUGCGGACGGGAUAACCGCUGAAAGCAUAUAAGCGGGAAGCCCCCUCCAAGAUAAGGUAUCCCAGGUCGUAAGACCUCUAAAGACCCCUCGUAGACUACGAGGUUGAUAGGCCGGAUGUGGAAAGCCAGUAAUGGCUGAAGCUAACCGGUACUAAUUGGUCGUGCGGCUUGACCAUAU